CAGAAACCCAGAACUUGGCUCUGAGCAAAUGGGACUCAGACCAGGGACCCCACAAGCCCUCAGGCCUGAGACCCUAAAAUCCUAGUUCUGAGUGCGAGGGGCCUAUCUUGGGGGCCCUGGGCAAGGCGGAGGGUCCACUAGACCCUGAAAGUCCAGCCUGAGCUCACAUCCACUCCUCUAGCCUGGGUUGUUCUACAGCAGGUUCUGCCAGUGUCUGUGGUAUGUGAAGAAUGAGGAGGUUC
rnacentral:lncRNA from 1 species